UCUGUCUGUCUGUCUGUCUCUCUCUCUCUCCCUCUCUCUCUCUCUCCCUCCCUCCUCCCCCUCUCUCUCUCUCUCAAACUCCCUCCCUCUCUCUGUUUGUCUGUCUCUCUCUCGCUCUCGGCUGUCUCUGUCGAUGGAGGCAACCGGAUAAGGACAGCAUGCAGGCUCAUCCCUGAGAAGAGACACGGAGCUGAGAACGCUGGUCUGGUGGCCGACCUGAGUACUGCUGGACCCCCUGACCCCCACGGCUUGACCCCCUGGACCCCCACCUCUGGACCCCCACCCCUGGACCCCCACCUCUGGACCCCCACCUCUGGACCCCAAGGACAGCCCUCUGGCACCAUGGGGAACUGUCUUUCAGAGAUGAAACUGCCAAAAGGUACGUAGGACCGUACAAAACAGACAAAACAUCUCAGAUAUUAACAAACUUAAUGAAGCAACGUGCUCAACGAUUGGUUCCUCCUCCUUCCCUUAAGGAGGCCUUCUGAAGAACCUCCCGGAAGCUGACGCUGGGAAGGUAGGUGUGUGUGUGUGAGUGCGUGUGUUUGUGUGUAUGUGUGUAUGUGUGAGCAACUGCACAUGUGUGAGUGUGUGUUUGUGUGCGAGUGCCUGCGAGCAAGUGCACACGUGUGUGUGCGUGUGCGUGAGAGCAGUGCGGUGUGUGCAGGGGGCCUGUAUGUGACGCGGCCUCGCGGCGCAGUCACCGGAGAUAACCCUGAUGGGGGAAGCUGGUCGCAUCGCUCACGACUCGGGGGUCUUUAUCUGGCAGGAAGAGGAGCGCGGGCCGCCUGCCGACGGCCUGUACGCCGCCGUGGACUUCAGCAAGAAGAGGUCCUCCCGGGCCCCGGCCCCGUGACUCCUCCCCCCCCCCCUGACUCCUCCCCCCGCCCCUCAGAGUGUGUCUACUCCGUCAUUAUCCCGCACAGACCUCCAGCCCCGCCCACCUCGGAGGCUGAGGAAGGGGCCGAUGAUUAUGUCCUCAUGCAGUAGGACCACGAGGUCGACCAACGGCAGUACCGAGCUGGAGCGGACCGGAUGCUCACUGCUGCCGUCGCGGUGAGCCCUGACGGAGGCUCGGGACGUCAUUCUGUGGUUCUACGUUCAUCGCUGCGGAGGAAACGUCACCGCCACCGUAGAAAUGAAGACCUCUCUGUUAGCGGGCUCAUGGAUACCAACAGUCCUGAACACGGCCUCAUACAGUCGUAGUGUAUAUACCAUCCUCAUACUCACACUGUAUACCAUCCUCAUACUCACACUGUAUACCAUCCUCAUACUCACACUGUAUACCAUCCUCAUACUCACACUGUAUACCAUACUCAUACUCACACUGUAUACCAUACUCACACUGUAUACCAUACUCACACUGCAUACCAUACCAUACUCACAC
ensembl:lncRNA